UACGGGGGGGGCAAGCGGUUGUUCGGAAUUACUGGGCGUAAAGGGCUCGUAGGUGGCCAACUAAGUCAGACGUGAAAUCCCUCGGCUUAACCGGGGAACUGCGUCUGAUACUGGAUGGCUUGAGUUCGGGAGAGGGAUGCGGAAUUCCAGGUGUAGCGGUGAAAUGCGUAGAUAUCUGGAGGAACACCGGUGGCGAAGGCGGCAUCCUGGACCGACACUGACACUGAGGAGCGAAAGCCAGGGGAGCAAACGGG
rnacentral:rRNA from 1 species